UACGGGGGGGGCAAGCGUUGUCCGGAAUCAUUGGGCGUAAAGCGCGUGUAGGCGGCCCGGUAAGUCCGCUGUGAAAGUCGGGGGCUCAACCCUCGAAUGCCGGUGGAUACUGUCGGGCUAGAGUGCGGAAGAGGCGAGUGGAAUUCCUGGUGUAGCGGUGAAAUGCGCAGAUAUCAGGAGGAACACCAAUUGCGAAGGCAGCUCGCUGGGACGUGACUGACGCUGAGACGCGAAAGCGUGGGGAGCAAACAGG
rnacentral:rRNA from 1 species